rnacentral:rRNA from 1 species
UUCUGGUUGAUCCCGCCGGAGGUCACUGCUAUUGGGAUUCGGCUAAGCCAUGCGAGUCGUGAGGGUUCGGCCCUCGGCAGACGGCUCAGUAACACGUAGAUAAUUUGCCCUUAGGUGGAGGAUACCCUCGGGAAACUGAGAAUAAUACUCCAUAGAUCUAGACUGCUGGAAUGCUUUUAGAUUGAAAGAUUUAUCGCCUAAGGAUAAGUCUGCGGACUAUCAGGUCGUAGUCAGGGUAAAUACCUGACUAGCCUACGACGGAUACGGGUUGUGAGAGCACUAGCCCGGAGAUGAUAUCUGAGACACGAUAUCAGGCCCUACGGGGCGCAGCAGGCGCGAAAACUUCGCACUGUGCGAAAGCACGACGAGGGAAUCCCAAGUGCUGGCUCGUAAGAGUCAG